AUUUUAUCGCUCUCACGUAACGGCAGAUGGACCAUCGGUACUUUCCGAACCUGUAUCUCUAACAAACACUCCCAACAUUUGAUGAUAGAAAAAUGACACAAAGUAUUGUAUGGAAAGCUGAAAUGAAACAAUGUCAAGAAAAGAAAUUGAGAUGAAGGUUCCGUUGCCAUCUUGCAACCUCUGAAUCCACACUUACAGACCAGCAGAAUUAUCUAACGUUACCAACGUCAAUUCAGCAAAUUAACUAAUCUAUCUAAAUUAUGUGUUUCCGAAUGUAAUAAUUUUGAUAAUAUAUUAUUUGUAUGAAAGAUA